UACGAAGGGGGCUAGCGUUGCUCGGAAUCACUGGGCGUAAAGCGCACGUAGGCGGCUUGUUAAGUCAGGGGUGAAAUCCUGGAGCUCAACUCCAGAACUGCCUUUGAUACUGGCGAGCUUGAGUCCGGGAGAGGUGAGUGGAACUGCGAGUGUAGAGGUGAAAUUCGUAGAUAUUCGCAAGAACACCAGUGGCGAAGGCGGCGCUCUGGACCGAGACUGACGCUGAGGCGCGAAAGCGUGGGGAGCAAACAGG
rnacentral:rRNA from 1 species